AUGGAGUGUGUUGCACAAUACCGAAAGUGGCUGUUAGAUAACAGAGACAAGUUAGAGAAGGAAAAAUACAAGAAGUGCCUGAAGCAGCUUGUACCCAUGGUGAAACUUACUUUGGUUUAUGAUAAGGAGCCUGAGAAUUUGUCCAAGAUAAUGAAACUCAUGUACAAGGUCGGAGAAUAUGGUCCACCUCCCAGUGGUGUCAUUCAUGCUAUAUCUCCUCGUCUUUAUCAGAGUACCAUGGAGCAACUCGCCGCUGCUGGAGCAGUAGACGUUUUGCACAAUAAGGUGCCGCAAGUCAUCAAAGCACAGACAGAGGGACUCCAUGAGGGCUGCUCUGCCCAGAGGUGGGCCGGACAGGUCUCAACGAAGUUCAUGCGGCUGCUGGACCCAGAGGUGGGUUCUGGUGCCGCAGCUGGAGGCGAUCUGGACAGGAGGCUGGAUGAGGACGCGAUAGACAAUUUGCUGAACAUGGAGGGCAUGCAGGUCUACUGGGAUGGUCGAGCUGCUGCAGAAAUAUGA
rnacentral:rRNA from 1 species